GAGUUUGAUCGUGGCUCAGAUUGAACGCUGGCGGCAUGCCUUACACAUGCAAGUCGAACGGCAGCACGGGAGCUUGCUCCUGGUGGCGAGUGGCGAACGGGUGAGUAAUGCAUCGGAACGUAUCCUGGAGUGGGGGAUAACGUAGCGAAAGUUACGCUAAUACCGCAUAUUCUGUGAGCAGGAAAGCGGGGGACCUUCGGGCCUCGCGCUCUUGGAGCGGCCGAUGUCGGAUUAGCUAGUUGGUGAGGUAAAGGCUCACCAAGGCGACGAUCCGUAGCAGGUCUGAGAGGAUGAUCUGCCACACUGGAACUGAGACACGGUCCAGACUCCUACGGGAGGCAGCAGUGGGGAAUUUUGGGACAAUGGGGGCAACCCUGAUCCAGCCAUGCCGCGUGAGUGAAGAAGGCCU
rnacentral:rRNA from 1 species